rnacentral:rRNA from 1 species
GAUGAACGCUGGCGGCGUGCCUAAUACAUGCAAGUCGAGCGAACGGACGAGAAGCUUGCUUUUCUGAUGUUAGCGGCGGACGGGUGAGUAACACGUGGAUAACCUACCUAUAAGACUGGGAUAACUUCGGGAAACCGGAGCUAAUACCGGAUAAUAUUUUGAACCGCAUGGUUCAAAAGUGAAAGACGGUCUUGCUGUCACUUAUAGAUGGAUCCGCGCUGCAUUAGCUAGUUGGUAAGGUAACGGCUUACCAAGGCAACGAUGCAUAGCCGACCUGAGAGGGUGAUCGGCCACACUGGAACUGAGACACGGUCCAGACUCCUACGGGAGGCAGCAGUAGGGAAUCUUCCGCAAUGGGCGAAAGCCUGACGGAGCAACGCCGCGUGAGUGAUGAAGGUCUUCGGAUCGUAAAACUCUGAUAUUAGGGAAGAACAUAUGUGUAAGUAACUGUGCACAUCUUGACGGUACCUAAUCAGAAAGCCACGGCUAACUACGCG